UACAGAGGGUGCGAGCGUUAAUCGGAGUUACUGGGCGUAAAGGGCGCGUAGGCGGUUCGUUAAGUGAUAUGUGAAAUCCCUGGGCUUAACCUAGGAACUGCAUGUCAUACUGGCGAGCUAGAGUAUUGUAGAGGGUAGUGGAAUUUCCGGUGUAGCGGUGAAAUGCGUAGAGAUCGGAAGGAACACCAGUGGCGAAGGCGGCUACCUGGACAAAUACUGACGCUGAGGCACGAAAGCUAGGGGAGCAAACAGG
rnacentral:rRNA from 1 species